GUCGAUUUCCUGGCCAUCACGUAUAACCAAGUAAUCCUCUUAUCUGAAAUAUUUUGAUGUGCCACUGACCGAUGAUCACAUUCCGUUUAACCUAGUCGUUUUUCGUUGUGUGGUUGUGUAACAUGCGGAGCAAUCCUUUAUAUCAUGAUAGAGAAUCUUUGUGCAUUAUUUCCUACCCAUUCCCCGUCUCACAGUCCUGUUCUACCUUCGAACAAAUUGAGGUCUCUGUAAAUCUUUUGUUCAGAAA
rnacentral:misc_RNA from 1 species